rnacentral:misc_RNA from 1 species
AAUCAUACCUAGACAUGAACAUUUAUAAUGUGAAAUUUGAUUCAACAUAUAUUGAAGUAAACUCUGAUACCAUAUUAAAAAAAUGGACUGAAUUUAACUCAACCCCAAAAACUAACUCAAAAACUAAGUCAAAAUUACUUAACUUUCAUUAUCUUACCUUGUCUUAGAAAACCCCCAUAUAAUUCAAAUUCAUAACCUUACGU